GACGAACGCUGGCGGCGUGCCUAAUACAUGCAAGUCGAACGCUUCUUUCCUCCCGAGUGCUUGCACUCAAUUGGAAAGAGGAGUGGCGGACGGGUGAGUAACACGUGGGUAACCUACCCAUCAGAGGGGGAUAACACUUGGAAACAGGUGCUAAUACCGCAUAACAGUUUAUGCCGCAUGGCAUAAGAGUGAAAGGCGCUUUCGGGUGUCGCUGAUGGAUGGACCCGCGGUGCAUUAGCUAGUUGGUGAGGUAACGGCUCACCAAGGCCACGAUGCAUAGCCGACCUGAGAGGGUGAUCGGCCACACUAGGACUGAGACACGGCCCAGACUCCUACGGGAGGCAGCAGUAGGGAAUCUUCGGCAAUGGACGAAAGUCUGACCGAGCAACGCCGCGUGAGUGAAGAAGGUGUUCGGAUCGUAAAACUCUGUUGUUAGAGAAGAACAAGGACGUUAGUAACUGAACGUCCCCUGACGGUAUCUAACCAGAAAGCCACGGCUAACUACGUG
rnacentral:rRNA from 1 species